UGAGGAAUAUUGGUCAAUGGACGGAAGUCUGAACCAGCCAAGUCGCGUGAAGGAUGACUGCCCUAUGGGUUGUAAACUUCUUUUGUAUUGGGAGAAUAAGCCUUACGUGUAAGGUGAUGACUGUACAAUACGAAUAAGCAUCGGCUAACUACGUGCCAGCAGCCGCGGUAAUACGUAGGUGGCAAGCGUUGUCCGGAAUUACUGGGUGUAAAGGGAGCGUAGGCGGGGAUAUAAGUUAAAUGUUAAAUCUACGGGCUCAACCCGUAGUCGUGUUUAAAACUGUAUCUCUUGAGUGAAGUAGAGGCAGGCGGAAUUCCCGGUGUAGCGGUGGAAUGCGUAGAUAUUAGGAGGAACACCAGUGGCGAAGGCGGCUUACUGGACGAUAACUGACGGUGAGGCUCGAAAGCGUGGGGAGCAAACA
rnacentral:rRNA from 1 species